CAAAUGCAGAAUUCCAGCCAGACUCUCAGGAAAAAGCAAGAGUCCCUGUUCAUAGCUGUAAUCUAUCACCCUACUGUCAUAGCUGGUCUCUGUAAGCAGUGCAGGACCAGUGCCCCUGUAUCAGAGCAGGUGGACCCAGUUGAGCCAAUUAAAGGAAGCAGGGCUACACCUGGGGCUGUAACAGCCUGUCAGAGGCGUAAUGAUUGGGACAGGCUGUACCUGGCACCACAGGCGAGUGGAGCUAACUCCUGUGGUGGAGCUGUUCCAGAAGAGCAGCUGGAGCUGGCUGAAUGAGGACUGGCUGAGCAGGGAGCUGGAAAGCUGCAAGAAGCAGAAUUACCAGAGACCUCUGGGAGAAGAGGCUAGGAUAAAGGCAGAAGCUGCAGAGCUGUGCUCCGCUUGCUAAAAAUUCCCAUGCCUGGAGGAUAGACACCAUCACAUGACAUGCCUGUUCUUUAUGCAGUCCUUGUGUGUCUCAAUUGAACAGAAAGCUACUAUCGUAAGAUUACAAUAGGCUUUUCAACAUCCUCCAGAAGUCCUCCUGCUAAUCCUGGAAAUCUCUAGCCAGAACAUUGAAUAAGGACUCAUUUCUACAUUCUUUGCACACAUUAAGUUAGUCACACAGAAUGUUUUAAUACCAUAUACUUCUACGUACGGGCUGUGGCAACAAGGACACCAGCACCUGGCUCUUACAGUAUGAUGGGGAUAGCAAUCUUCUAUGACAGGAGUUGGUAACCUCUUGGUUCUUUGAAUUGUCUCAGGAGGAACAGGAAAGAAUCUUACACUGAUUUAUUUGACUAUAAAGAAGUGGUUCCUAAUGAUUUUGUACAUCUGAGCAAAGAUGUUACUACUAAUGAGAGACUGGGGG